CCUACGGGAGGCAGCAGUGAGGAAUAUUGGUCAAUGGCCGAGAGGCUGAACCAGCCAAGUCGCGUGAGGGAAGACGGCCCUACGGGUUGUAAACCUCUUUUGUCGGGGAGCAAAGAGAGUCACGUUUGACUCAUUGAGAGUACCCGAAGAAAAAGCAUCGGCUAACUCCGUGCCAGCAGCCGCGGUAAUACGGAGGAUGCGAGCGUUAUCCGGAUUUAUUGGGUUUAAAGGGUGCGCAGGCGGAGGUGCAAGUCAGCGGUCAAAUUGCGGGGCUCAACCCCGUACUGCCGGUGAAACUGCAUCCCUUGAGUAUCGGAGAGGUAAUCGGAAUUCCUAGUGUAGCGGUGAAAUGCGUAGAUAUUAGGAAGAACACCAGUGGCGAAGGCGGAUUACUGGACGACAACUGACGGUGAGGCGCGAAAGCGUGGGGAGCAAACAGGAUUAGAUACCCUGGUAGUC
rnacentral:rRNA from 1 species